UACAGAGACUGCAAGCGUUAUUCGGAUUCACUGGGCGUAAAGGGUGCGCAGGCGGUUGGGUGUGUCAGAUGUGAAAUCCCGAGGCUCAACCUCGGAACUGCGUCUGAAACUACUCGACUAGAGUACUGGAGAGGGUAACGGAAUUCACGGUGUAGCAGUGAAAUGCGUAGAUAUCGUGAGGAACACCAGAGGCGAAGGCGGUUACCUGGACAGUUACUGACGCUCAUGCACGAAAGCAUGGGGAGCAAAAGGG
rnacentral:rRNA from 1 species